rnacentral:misc_RNA from 1 species
GCAGGAUCAACCAGGUAGCAUUCCUUGCUGACAAUACCCGACGUGGCAUGCAAAUACCACGACGAGAGUCGAUCAGUUGGGACAAAAAUCACUAGCUACGGGCCAAGACGAGGCAUUGUCGUCGUACCCAAUUCACAUUCUGCAUCCGAGAGCUCAAGCGAGUGUUCGUGGGCCAAAACAACUACAAUCAAAAUUCAAGUUUCGUGGGACACAAACAACGCUUCAAGGUUCACCGCGUGGAAAGCCUGUAGCAAAACGGGCAGACACCGGGUGAAUGAUACACGAUUUGGCAGCAUAAUUCCGUACAUUAGGCAUGCAACACAGGAAACCAAAGAAAAUUGGCGGCCAAGGCAAGGUGCUCUUGUACCAUUAAAUGAGGAGGAAUUGCACGGCCGAUCGUCACUGCCACAAACAUAGAUCCAACCAACCCAUACAAG